rnacentral:rRNA from 1 species
AUUGAACGCUGGCGGCAGGCCUAACACAUGCAAGUCGAAUGGUAACAGGAAACAGCUUGCUGUUUCGCUGACGAGUGGCGGACGGGUGAGUAAUGUCUGGGAAACUGCCUGAUGGAGGGGGAUAACUACUGGAAACGGUAGCUAAUACCGCAUAACGUCGCAAGACCAAAGAGGGGGACCUUCGGGCCUCUUGCCAUCAGAUGUGCCCAGAUGGGAUUAGCUAGUAGGUGGGGUAACGGCUCACCUAGGCGACGAUCCCUAGCUGGUCUGAGAGGAUGACCAGCCACACUGGAACUGAGACACGGUCCAGACUCCUACGGGAGGCAGCAGUGGGGAAUAUUGCACAAUGGGCGCAAGCCUGAUGCAGCCAUGCCGCGUGUAUGAAGAAGGCCUUCGGGUUGUAAAGUACUUUCAGCGGGGAGGAAGGGAGUAAAGUUAAUACCUAUGCUCAUUGACGUUACCCGCAGAAGAAGCACCGGCUAACUCCGUG